UAGGGAAUCUUCGGCAAUGGGGGCAACCCUGACCGAGCAACGCCGCGUGAGUGAAGAAGGUUUUCGGAUCGUAAAGCUCUGUUGUAAGAGAAGAACGAGUGUGAGAGUGGAAAGUUCACACUGUGACGGUAACUUACCAGAAAGGGACGGCUAACUACGUGCCAGCAGCCGCGGUAAUACGUAGGUCCCGAGCGUUGUCCGGAUUUAUUGGGCGUAAAGCGAGCGCAGGCGGUUAGAUAAGUCUGAAGUUAAAGGCUGUGGCUUAACCAUAGUACGCUUUGGAAACUGUUUAACUUGAGUGCAAGAGGGGAGAGUGGAAUUCCAUGUGUAGCGGUGAAAUGCGUAGAUAUAUGGAGGAACACCGGUGGCGAAAGCGGCUCUCUGGCUUGUAACUGACGCUGAGGCUCGAAAGCGUGGGGAGCAAACAGGAUUAGAUACCCUGGUAGUCCACGCCGUAAACGAUGAGUGCUAGGUGUUAGACCCUUUCCGGGGUUUAGUGCCGCAGCUAACGCAUUAAGCACUCCGCCUGGGGAGUACGACCGCAAGGUUG
rnacentral:rRNA from 1 species